CUUGGUCAUUUAGAGGAAGUAAAAGUCGUAACAAGGUUUCCGUAGGUGAACCUGCGGAAGGAUCAUUAGUGAAUUAAACAUGCUUGGUGUCUUCGCUUCGGCAAGGCCCUUGCUUAACUCACAUCCCAACACCUGUGAACUGUAAGGCGCAUGACUAGGUUCGCCCAAGUCAUCGUCUGCCCUUUUUAACAAACAAUUAAUGUAACAAACGUAGUCUUAUUAUAACCUAAUAAAACUUUCAACAACGGAUCUCUUGGCUCUCGCAUCGAUGAAGAACGCAGCGAAAUGCGAUAAGUAAUGUGAAUUGCAGAAUUCAGUGAAUCAUCGAAUCUUUGAACGCACCUUGCGCUCUUUGGUAUUCCGAAGAGCAUGCCUGUUUGAGUGUCAUGAAAUAUCAACCUUGACUUGGGUUUUGUGCUCUAGUCUCGGCUUGGAAUUGGGUGCUUGCCGCUUUUACGAGCGGCUCACCUUAAAUGUAUUAGCUGGAUCUGUCUUUGAGACUUGGUUUGACUUGGCGUAAUAAGUAUUUCGCUAAGGACAUUCUUCGGAGUGGCCUCGUUUCUAGGACGCUUGUCCGCUUUCCAAUACAAGUUCCACCUUGUGGACAUGACUUUUUUUUUUAUCUGGCCUCAAAUCAGGUAGGACUACCCGCUGAACUUAAGCAUAUCAAUAAGCGGAGGAAAAGAAACUAACAAGGAUUCCCCUAGUAACGGCGAGUGAAGCGGGAAAAGCUCAAAUUUGAAAUCUGGCAGCCUCAGGUUGCCCGAGUUGUAAUCUAUAGAAACGUUUUCCGCGCCGGCCCAUGUACAAGUCCCUUGGAACAGGGCGUCAUAGAGGGUGAGAAUCCCGUCCUUGACACGGACCACCGGUGCUUUGUGAUACGUUUUCAACGAGUCGAGUUGUUUGGGAAU
rnacentral:sRNA from 1 species